rnacentral:lncRNA from 1 species
GACUCCUGCUAAUCCGUUUGCCUGCGCACCAUUGGUGGAGUGAGGCAGCGUCGGGGGCCGAGGAGAGGAGGUGCCUGAAUUCAGUCACACAUCAGUAAAGGGGCUUCAUGUCUGGCCAGUGUUUUUGGAUCAGCAGGUAGUCGCAGGCAAGCUGUUAAAGGGGUCAUCAUUCUUCUCUCUCGCUGCUCCUCACACACAGAUGGGGACCUGCUGAACUCUGCCAAAGCUUAGCGUACGGCAGGCGGAUGACACCGGACCGGACCGGACCGGACCGGACCGGACCGGACCGCCACGUCGGAUGCAUUGGAGGCAGAAGUCGUCUCCUCUGGUCAAAGCAGGAUGAACCUGAUGCUGGUUCUGCACGCUGCCAUCAAACGCCUGCAGGACCAGCACACACAGGACGAGCGGCUCCGUCAUCGGGCGGCGCCUCAUCGGACCCGCGUUCGGCGGGCGGCGAGUCCACGCCAAAUGAAAGCGGGGCCGAACCCCGGCGCCUCUCGCUCACAGAGGCUUCACACAGGCUGCGUGGGAGCCAGGGAGCGGCGCCUGAGGGCUGCUGUCAGACAGCCGGAGCAGGGUGCCGCCUCUCUUCUUAUCCUCUCUCCUCUCACUUCUUGCCGUUUGGGAUCCGCGCCGUUUUGCAGCCGAGGGCCCAUGUGGGAACCCCAGGAAGCCAAUGCAGAAAGUGGAGGAGCAGCACGACGGCCGACUCACACAUUCUAACGGAUGCGAUGACGGACUCGUAUCCUGAUUGUGCAGUUGGUAGUGUGCACAAUGAGGGCGGAGAGAGGGAAAUGUGCACGGCAGCUUUCCAUUAUGAGAUAGUGUGUAUUACUGUAAUCCAGAGGGCCUCCUGCUCGCUGUGGCGUGUGCCAGACUCCUGGGUGGGCAAUCUCAGAGACAGUGGGGAGGCCCAGCUUAUUUCUGGGCACAUUUGGCAUGGCCUAUAUGGCUGUUACAAGAACUAG